GCACACGCAGAGGAGGUGGGCGGCGGUCAGGAGCGGUGGGCCCUGCAUCUCGACGGCGUCUGCCUGGGCUACAGUCCGCUGCCGGGGAAGUUCGCGGGCACCGUGGGGUGUGGCUUGCCACCUCCUCCCUGAUUUUUUUUCCCUCUUAAUUCGAGUUUAGUAAUCUGAAAUGGGCGCGCCUAACAGCAGAGUGAGAGAUCUAAAUUGAGACAGGACUUGGAGGCUCCACCCCUCCCAUCCCCAUUACAAUGGCGCUUCUCGCUGCUGUGGCAAACAUCGCAAAUCCAGGGGGUGAGAAAGCAGUUGCUAAACGCAGGCGGCCCCACCUGGCCCGGCGUCCCAGCUGGCCGCGGAGAACAGAGCGCGCCCACUUCCCCGGCCCACCGGGUUCCUCAGGCUGUUUACACUAGCGCUCUACCAACGAUGCCCAGGGAAAAUGUUAUGAUUUAUCACCUUAAAAAAAAAAAGAAGAAGAGAACUCGCACUGCAGACGUUAGGUGUUGCUACUUGGAACCCUGAAAAAAAAUUACCUAAGAAGAUGCCUUUAUAUUUUUGCUACAGAAAGAAUUUGGUAGAACUGUAAAGCUUGGAGCAAUCUCUGAACACAGUUAGGGUUGGGUUGGCUCUCCUGUCAGAAUGAAGGCCAGUGGCCGGUGGUGCCCAGGAGUUAUUGAUGCCCAACGCUGUCUGGCUUCUUUGCAGCUCCUCUCUCCUGCUCUCUGGCACUGCCACCAUCUUCAGAUGACUCAGGUUUCACCAUGACUACACCAUAAAAGCAGGGAACUGCCAGAAACUGUUGGAAAACAGACACAUUCAGUCCCUGACAACUUAAACUUUCUAAUUCAUGGAGCGGUUUUAGAUGGUAGCAUUCUAAUAUGGGGCAAAAUGCAAACGGAAAAGAGGUCAGCAAAAAGAUGUCUCAUGACAAAGCUAUGUGCUAAAUAAGGAAAAGUGAGAAAGUAGCACCUAGACAAACUGUGGUUUGGGGAAUCCAGAAACUUGCUUUCCUCCCUUUCCUGUUCCACCCUUUUUCUCCCUGCUGAACAGCUUGCAAAGGUCCUUAUGUCCUUUCCUUCAGGCAGCCUAUCUUUAGUGGCCAACUUCCUGUGCAGGCAGGACUUAGGAAUGGUCAAAAGUGUCUGUGUGGAUCCCUGGGUGCUGACCUGUUCCUGACACAGCUGUUACUACUGGUCUCCUCACCUCCGUUGUUCAGAGAGGAGGACCAUGGUCAAGGGUGGGCCAAGCACCAAGGUCUAACUCAGUGCUUCUCACAUGCCAAUGUGUGUGAGAAUCACAUGAAAACAGACUCUGACUUGGCAGGUCUGGAACGAGGACUGGGAUUCUGCUUUACUUUAGCAGACAGUAGGCCAUGGAGACUCUACAAGUGGGGGCAAUUUGGGGGCAAUUUGAUGAGCAAAGGCAAUUAAGAACACAGAAAAUUCUUCUCAAUCUUUCACUUCAUAAAGGUGGAUUAAUAAAUUCAGGUUCAUUCUAGAGGUAGGCAAACAUAAGAGGGACUGCAAAAGAUUAGAUGAUAAUGUUGCCUCCCGAGAAGACUUACAGAAAGUCUUAGAACCACAUUGUAUAAAUCUGUGUGGAUUUUAAAGUGAUGCCACCUUCCUGUUUAUGCCCUCCUUCCCACAAUACACACUUGUCGAAAGGCGUAGUCAUGCAAAAAUUUAGGCAUAUGGAUUUGCAUAGAGAUGAGGCUAUUACAUGCCUGGCACAGAGUAGCUAUUCAAUAAAAAUGUGUUAAAAGGAUUAAUGAAAAAUGUUCAUCUCAGAAGUGGGAUUUUUUAUUAAGAAAAACUGAAAAUGAGGCCAGGCGUGGUGGUUCACACCUGUAAUCCCAGUAAUUUGGGAGACCGAGGCGGGUGGAUCACCUAAGGUCACGAGUUCGAGACCAACCUGACCAACAUUGUGAAACCCCAUCUCUACUAAAAAUACAAAAUUAGCCAAGUGUGGAUGGUGGCACAUGCCUGUAAUCCGAGCUACUCAGGAGACUGAGGCAAGAGAAUUGCUUGAACCUGGGCGUUGGAGGUUGCAGUGAGCCGAGAUCGCAGAAUUGCUCUCCAGCCUGGGCAACAAGAGCAAAACUCCGUCUCAAAAAAAAAAAGAAAAGAAAAGAAAGAAAAGAAAAAAGAAACACUGAAAAUGGGCCGGGCAUGGUGGCUUAUGCCUGUAAUCCCAACAUUUUGGGAGGCUGAGGAAGGCAAAUCACUUGAGGGCAGGAGUUCAAGACCAGCCUGGCCAAAAUGGUGAAACCCUGUCUCUACUAAAAAUACAAAAAUUAGCCCAGCAUGGUGGCACAUACCUGUAAUAAAAGCUACUCAGGAGGCUGUGGCAUGACAAUCACUUGAACCCAGGAGGUGGAGGCUGCAGUGAGCCAAGAUGGUGCCACUGCACUCCAGUCUGGGUGACAGAGCAAGACUCUGUCUCAAAAGAAAAACUGAAAAUGGUCUGAACAUGUAACAAUAAGAUAUUGGGUUUGCUGUCAUUUGGAUGUUUGUCGCCCAAAGCUGAUGCUGAAAUUUGAUCCCCAGUGUUGGAGGUAGAGCACAAUGUGAGAUGUUUGGGUUCUGUGGGUGGAUCCUCAUGAAUAGAUGAAUGUCCUCCCUGGGGGUCGGGGGGUGAGUGAGUACUCAGUUCCCACAAGAAUUGGUUGUUAAAAAGAGCCUGGCACCUCCUGCUUCUCUUGUUUCCUCUCUCACCAUGGGAUCUCUGCACACUAGCUCCCCUUCCCCUUCCACAUGAGUGGAAGCAGCCUGAGGACCUCACCAGAAGCCAAGCAAAUGCCAAUGUCAUGCUUCUUGAACAGCCUGCAGAAUUGUAAGCCAAGUAAACUUUUUUUUUUAAUAAAUUACCCAGCCUUGGGUACUACCUUAUAGCAACACAAAACAGACAAAAACAGGAUUAAAUAAAUUACAGUAUAUCCAUGCAAUGGAAUACUGAAAUAAUUAAAAACUAUUUGUUUAAUUGGAGCUUGUUUAACCAUCUAGAGACAAAUAUUCAUAUGUUAUUAAGGAGGGUAUAUUAGUCUGUUCUCACCCUGCUAAUAAAGACAUACCUGAGACUGGGUAAUUUAUAAAGGAAAGAGAUUUAAUUGAUUCACAGUUCCACAUGGCUGGGAGGCCUCACAAUUAUGGUGGAAGGCGAAUGUGGAGCAAAGUCAAGUCUUACAUGGUGGCAGGCAAGAGAGCAUAUGUAGGGGAACUCCCCUUUAUAAAACCAUCAUAUUUCGUGAAAUUUAUUCACUAUCACAAGAAAAGCAUGGGAAAGACCCACCCCCAAAAUUGAAUUACAUCCCACUGGGUCCCUCCCGUGACAUGUGGGAAUUAUGAGAGCUGCAAUUCAAGAUGAGAUUUGGGUGGGGACACAGCCAAACCAUAUCAGAGGGGAAGUCUGUUUUAUAAAACAGAAUUUAAAUUUCAUUUUAUUUUUAUAAAAAAUAAAGUGUAUUUAUGUGUACAUAGACAUUACAGAUCUAUGCACUGAAGAAAGACUUGAAGGAUAUUCACCAAAAUGCUAUUAUCAGUAUCCUGGUGAUUACCUGGAUAUGCCAAGUUUCCUACAAUAAAUAUAUAUUAUAUCUCCUUUAAGAAGAAAACAAUAAUAAUAUUAUUUUAGUAAAUAGUUUUUGAGGGGGCAUCUUAGAAGCUCUUUUGCAUAAAACUUCUGAAUUUUGAUACCAAAAAUAUCAUCUAUGCUUAUUGCAUGAAAACCUAAUGGUCUCUUGGAUAAGAACCCCACACUGUUCCUGUGUCCCUCCUGAGCUGUCUUUAAGGUGUUGAUAUGGUUUGGAUCUGUGUCCCUGCCCAGAUCUUAUGUCAAAUCCCCAAUUUCGGAGGUGGGGCCUGGUAGGAGGUGAUUGAAUCAUGGGGGCAGAUUUCCCCCGUGGUGCUGUUCUUGCGAUAGUGAAUCUUCAUGAGAUCUGGUUGUUUAAAAGUAUGUGGCACCUCCCCCCACCUCUUUUGGUCCUUCUCCUGCCAUGUAAGAUACCACGAGCCCAUACAUCAGCCCCUUCUGCCAUACUUUGGCAAUGUUAAAGUUGAGACCAUGAGUAAAAGCUCCCUGAGGCCUCCCUAGAAGCAGAUGCUGACAUGCUUCCUAUAUAGCCUGUGGAACUGUGAGCCAAUUAAACUUCUUUUCUUUAUAAGUUACCCAGUCUCAGGUGUUACUUUAUAGCAAUGCAAGAACAGAGUAAUUCAAUGAGAAAGGCAGAACCACUAUGAGUGAGACAGACCCUAAGCAAUCAUGGGAGCUGGUAGGGCAGUUUGUGCAAACCAUUGCCCCUGUGUGUGGUGUGCAGCAUAACAUAACUAUGAGUCAGCCAGGGGAGAAAAGCUAAAUGUGGGUAAGAAUAAAGAAAAACUGAUUGAGAAGUGGAACCCAUGUCCAUCUUACCACCUCCAACUUCCAUGUCAUGAGUAACCUGCAGGAGAAGCUGGUGUCCUUUGUCCAGAGCUUCAUGUACAUUUGGCCCACAAUUCAGAAAAACUGAAGGAAGAGAGCCUCUGAGAACUAAAGGAGCUACAGGCCUGACUGUGGCCCUGAACCCACAAAGUGAACUGGCACAUUAGUAACAGUAUGGACAAGUGUUCCCAACUGCCUAGCACUCUAAACCAAGCUUCAGAAAGUAAAAAAUACAGGUGUAUGGGGUACCCCACCUCCCCUUUAUAGUCUGCUCUGUCCAUAACACCAGCUGGAGGCUUUCCUGGGGCCACCUGAGUCCAGGCCCCAAUCAGAUGGACAUUGGAAGGGGUGAGACCAGGACUGGCAGGGAGCAGUUAGUUGCCUUUCUAGUCUCCCUCCCUAGCCAUGCACUUUUGCCUUUAGAAAAAUGAUGGGGAAAACCUUGGCUCCUUCUUUGUCCAGAAAGUGUUAAUUGCCUGUGGGUUCUGGUGGCCGGGGAGAAGAGCAGGAAAGCAGAGAGCAGGUGGGUGGCUGAAAGGGAAGAGGGGAGGAACACGGCAGAAACAUGAAGGUGACCCUAUCUAUUCCCCUGGAGAAGGGGUGAGAGGUCAGGUAGAGUAGCUGCUCAGUACACAAAAUGUAGAAAGAUGAUGAGAAAAAAAAAUCUGCUACAGUCUUACCACUACCCAGAGACAAGCAUUAUUUCAUUUUGUUGUGUUUCCUUCCUCUCUUUCUUUCUCCACAUAAUUUGCUGGUAUCUUUUUUAAAGAGUAAUUAUGUUAUAAAUAUAAUACAACUUUGUGCUUUGUGUCCUACUUUUCCCAUUUAAUUAUUCCAUCAUAAGCAUUUCCUCAUGUUUUACAAACCUUUUUUAAAUAAAAUGUUCAUCAGCUGCAGCCGGGCACGGUGGCUCACGCCUGUAAUCCCAGCACUUGGGAGGCCGAGGCGGGCAGAUCACCUGAGGUCAGGAGUUUGAGACCAGCCUGACCAACAUGGAGAAACCCCGUAUCUACUAAAAAUACAAAAUUAGCAAGGCGUGGUGGCACAUGCCUGUAAUCCCAGCUACUCAGGAGGCUGAGGCAGGAGAAUCUCUUGAACCUGGGAGGCGGAGGUUGCGGUGAGCCGAGAUCACACCACUGCACUCCAGCCUGGACAACAAGAGCGAAACUCCGUCUCAAAAAAACAAACAAAAAAAAUGUUUAUCACCUGCAUAAUAAAACAAACAAAAGGAAUAAAAACAUUUUCAGAAAUGGAAUGGCUCAGAAACUUCGCCUUUCACAAAUUCAUUUUAGGAAGUUACUUUAGGAAGACAUAUUUAGCAACGAAGUGAAAUAAGCCAAGAAAAAGGGAAAUGUAUAUAUAACCCCAGAAAAAAAUGAAGAGAGAACUUCUAAUAGGAAAAAUUCCAGGAGUAAGCUCUUAAGGGAAAUAAAAGGGAUCUUAAUCGAAUAGAUGUACAUAAUGAAAUACAAGAAAACUGAGACUAUGAUAAAGUAAAAUAGUGCAGUAAAAAGGAAGGGAAUUUAGAAAUUCAAGGGAAAAGCAAACACUGAAUAAAAAAGAAUAUAUCAUGAUUCAUUAGUUGGCUUUGCAGUGAAAAAUAAUUAGUUGUGUUGAUGUAAGUAUGGUUUACUGAUUUAUAACAGAAUAAAAGAAUUGACAAAGAAGAUUUAAUUACACUGUUUCACCAUUUCUAAAAUAUAUGUUUUUCACAUUUGUAACAUUUCUGAUCUUAUAAUCAAUGGUAUCAUAAUAAUAAUUGACAAUAAAUUUUCUUUCUUGGUAUUAAAGUAAGUGGUGUAUCUU
rnacentral:lncRNA from 10 species